GCUGGGAAGGAGCGAGCGAGCGGGGGCGCGAGGCGUUUACCUGGAGGCAGCGGCUCGGGCGCGCAGAGCGGCCGCGGCUCCCCCGCACCUGCGGCCAUGGAUGAGGAGCGCGCCCUGUACAUCGUCCGGGCCGGCGAGGCGGGGGCUAUCGAGCGGGUCCUGAGGGAUUACAGCGAUAAGCAUAGGGCUACUUUCAAAUUUGAACCAACAGAUGAAGAUAAAAGAAAGAAACUCUGCGAAGGGAUAUUUAAAGUCCUUGUAAAGGACGUCCCAACAACAUGUCAAGUGUCCUGCCUGGAAGUUCUCCGCAUUCUCUCCAGAGACAAAAAGAUUUUAGUUCCUGUAACAACCAAGGAAAAUAUGCAGAUACUGCUGCGACUAGCGAAGCUGAAUGAGUUGGAUGAUUCUUUGGAGAAGGUGUCAGAGUUCCCAGUUAUUGUGGAGUCAUUAAAAUGUCUGUGUAACAUAGUGUUCAAUAGUCAGAUGGCACAGCAGCUCAGCCUGGAACUUAACCUUGCUGCAAAGCUCUGUAACCUCCUGAGAAAGUGCAAGGACCGAAAGUUUAUCAAUGACAUUAAGUGCUUUGACUUGCGCUUGCUCUUCGUCCUGUCACUUUUGCACACUGACAUCAGGUCACAAUUGCGCUAUGAGCUCCAGGGACUACCGCUGCUAACCCAGAUCUUGGAAAGUGCCUUUAGCAUCAAGUGGACCGAUGAGUAUGAAUCGGCCAUAGACCAUAAUGGACCUCCUCUCUCACCUCAGGAGACAGACUGUGCCAUUGAGGCCCUCAAAGCUCUCUUCAAUGUGACGGUAGACAGUUGGAAGGUGCAUAAAGAGAGUGAUUCUCAUCAGUUCCGUGUCAUGGCAGCUGUCCUUCGCCAUUGUUUACUAAUUGUAGGUCCAACUGAAGACAAAACAGAAGAGCUGCACAGCAAUGCAGUCAACCUUUUAAGCAAUGUUCCGGUCUCUUGUUUGGACGUUCUCAUUUGUCCAUUAACACAUGAAGAAACAACCCACGAGGCAACGACUCUAGAUGAACUGCCCAGUGAUAAAACAGCUGAGAAAGAAACAGUUUUGAAAAACAAUACCAUGGUAUACAAUGGUAUGAAUAUGGAGGCCAUUCAUGUUUUACUCAAUUUUAUGGAGAAGAGAAUAGACAAGGGAAGCAGCUAUAGAGAGGGCCUAACUCCAGUUCUCAGCUUAUUAACAGAAUGCUCCCGAGCCCAUCGAAACAUCAGAAAAUAUCUCAAAGAUCAGGUUUUACCCCCACUGAGGGAUGUGACAAAUCGACCUGAAGUUGGCUCAACUGUGAGAAACAAGCUGGUGCGCCUCAUGACACAUGUUGACCUUGGAGUCAAACAAAUUGCUGCUGAAUUCCUUUUCGUCCUUUGCAAGGAGAGAGUGGAUAGCCUGCUGAAAUACACUGGCUAUGGAAAUGCUGCAGGACUGUUGGCGGCCAGGGGCCUCUUGACUGGAGGAAGAGGAGAUAAUUGGUACUCAGAGGACGAGGACACAGACACUGAAGAAUACAAAAAUGCAAAACCAAACAUUAAUCUUAUCACUGGUCAUUUAGAGGAACCAAUGCCAAACCUUAUAGAUGAAAUGACAGAAGAACAAAAAGAAUAUGAAGCCAUGAAACUUGUCAACAUGCUUGAUAAACUUUCCAGAUGCCUGAUCAGAUGAGAAGCCCGCCAUGAUACUGUCACAGUGCCUAGAAUGGGCUCUUUAUCCAGUAGACAUCACUGUACUUUUUGAUGAUAACGAGGGCAGUCUUAACUUGUGUUAAGGCCUGUGUAUAGCAUUGAAGAGAGGAGUUGCUUAAACCAAUGGGACUAAAACCUGAUGGGACAAUAACGCCUUUGGAGGAAGCACUCAGCCAGUACUCUGUCAUCGAAGAGACCAGCUCCGACACAGACUAAAGCCAUCACCUGCUCAAUUCAGUCUUGCUUUUAUUGGCAUCUUUUCUCUGUAGCUCCAGGGGAAUCUUUUUUCUCAAACAUUUAUGCCCUUGCUUUGGCUAGAAACACAUUAACUGGUUUACUCAUUGAGAAUCCAGCAUAUUUAAGAGGUGAUCCUGUGUUUUUGCGAUCCUGAGGCAUUCAUGCAGAGCUGCAGUUAGAUGGAGUUGCGGGGGCUAGCAGCAGAAUAACGCCAUUUCAUCGGGAUGGAACCGAAGGACUUCACUGUAACACAGCCCUGGUGGAAUCUGGCAGGUCAUUUGCCAAGAUUCUUAGCAGAAGAUUUAGCCGCAUCCUUCCUCUCACUUGUGUGAGCUGCCCCUCCUGAAUCUCUCCAGCAGACGGAGGCAUGCGGGAAGCAGAAAGAGCUGCUAAAUAAGGGCUGAGGCAAGUGACUUGUUAGAUCAGGACUGACGACAUGGAAGCCAAGCAGCUGCUCCAUAAACCUCGCCCCACUUUUCAUUUCAGUUUUGUAUAAAUAUAUAGAAAUGCACACACACACACACAGCCCCGGACUUGCAAACUGACUGCACUGAAAGUUUGUAUGUCACUUAUCUAGAACUUCAGAAUACAUUUCUCCCUAUAAAAUGACGGUUUAGUUCGGAGGCAGCUACAAUGCCUAUUUAUUCCCUCACGUACCUGAACACUAUACCAGAGAACUGAGCCCCCAUCUGUAUUGCUGCAUGGGGAGCAUGCAUUCUGAGGUCUAACUCGGGUGCCAAGAACACGUGUCCCAGCAGAGGGAAUGGGGACUCCUGAGUCCUGGGAGUUCUUUGUGGCCUCUGCUGGGGCAGGGGGUCAACAGCACCCUUUUGUACAUAUAGGUCAUUCAUAUGUCACAUGUUUCAAAUGGGGGCUGUGUGUGUGCUGAUGUGUGUGUUCUACCUUUCUACCAUAUGAUCAGUUUAACGGUAACCUUAUUUAUUUAAAAAAAAAAAGAAACACAAAUAGUUAUUGUUAAACUGAUCAAGGCUGUUUAUUUUUACUUUAAAAAUUGGUCAUAUGAAGUAGUAGAAAAUGAAUCGGUGAGCCUGGUUAAUCAGUGGCUAAAGUUGAAAAGGGGUUGGUUUCCUUUUAUAUAUGUAUGUAUGUUUGUAUACAUACAUAUAUACACACAUAGAUAAUGUGCUUAACCACUGCCUUUUAAAACUUUAAAUUAAAUAAAACAUUGGGGUUGAUUCAAUUUAGCCAUCUGUGUGUGUUUCUUUACAGAUACAUGGGGUAAACUAUUUCCCAGUUCAUGCUUUUUAAAAGUACUUGUACAUCUCACUUAAAUAGCCUCCUUAAGGAUAGGCACAUGGGGUGUAAGUAAAAAUGUCAGUUAUCCAGAAAUCACUUCUCUGGCAAAACAAAACAGGAAUUGAACUUUUAAAUGCCUGUGAGCCUCCACGAGAGAUGUCAAAACCUUCCUGCAGUUUGCUCAUCGGAGAGAGCCUCAAGAAUCUCUACUAAAAUUUGCAUACAUUUCUAAAAUGUUUAGUUAUCUGGCUUUUAGGCCCACAGAAAAGUCCCACAGGAGGAGUGGGGAGGAAGGGGGCGGAGUGAGAAAGCUCCUUGAGCUGUCACAAAUCUGGGAGAGUCUGUUUCCCGAAUGACACAUAUCACAAUCUGGCCCAUAGACUGAUUCUCAAGGAUGACCCUGUUUCUUAAAAAAAAAAAAAAAA